rnacentral:rRNA from 1 species
ACCCCUGUGAGAAUGCCCCGCUACCUCCUGCUUGGAGGCGAGGAGCCGGCAUCAGGCACAAUCUUUUUUAGCCCACAACGCCUUGCUAAGCCACACCCCUAAGGGAAUUCAGCAGUGAUAAAUAUUAAGCCAUGAGUGAAAACUUGACUUAGUUGGUGUUUGUAGGGCCGGUAAACCUCGUGCCAGCCACCGCGGUUAGACGAGAGACCCAAGUGGAUGGCCCUCGGCGUAAAGAGUGGUUAAGAUAAUUUUAAACUAAGGCCAAACUACUUUUUAGCUGUUACACGCGCGAGAGGACAUGAAGCCCAACUACGAAAGUGGCCUUAAACCCCUGACCCCACGAAAGCUAAGACACAAACUGGGAUUAGAUACCCCACUAUGCCUAGCCCUAAACAUUGAUAAUACCAUACCCAGUUUAUCCGCCCGGGGACUACGAGCGUCAGCUUAAAACCCAAAGGACUUGGCGGUGCUUUAGAUCCACCUAGAGGAGCCUGUUCUAGAACCGAUAAUCCCCGUUCAACCUCACCUUUCCUUGCUCAUUCC